AUGGCCCAUAGACAUUUUUGUUUCGUCUACACAGUGUUAAAUGUACUUACCCUGUCUUUAAAAUCAGUUGUUUUCACAGGAACAAAAAAUUUUCAUUUCUUUGAAAAAUCAGCAAAUCUGGAAACACUUGGCCUGCAGGUCCACCUGCCAACUGUCACCUGGAAUGCGGUAACCGCUGCCACUUUCAGAUGGGACCUGUGCUCUGCUCUUCAGUUCACUGCAGUCCUCACCUGGUCAACUUCGUGCAUUUACAUUAUCUGUCUGGAUCUUGCAGACAUCUGUGAAAAACCUUUCACACCCAAGUUUCAUUUAAGGUUUUCAGAAGACUUUCAGGAAAAAACCUUUUAACACCUACAAAUUACUGAUUCUCUUUGCCUAAAGAUGUCAUGAAGACCAGUGCAGUUAAGUUCCUUGGGAAAAAAAUCUAUAAAACAAAG
rnacentral:lncRNA from 1 species